rnacentral:rRNA from 1 species
GAGUUUGAUCAUGGCUCAGAUUGAACGCUGGCGGCAGGCCUAACACAUGCAAGUCGAGCGCGAAAGUCCUUCGGGGCAAGUAGAGCGGCGGACGGGUGAGUAAUGCUUGGGAAUCUACCUAGUAGUGGGGGAUAACCUGUGGAAACGCAGGCUAAUACCGCAUACGUCCUACGGGAGAAAGCAGGGGAUCUUCGGACCUUGCGCUAUUGGAUGAGCCCAAGUCGGAUUAGCUAGUUGGUGGGGUAAUGGCUCACCAAGGCGACGAUCCGUAGCUGGUCUGAGAGGACGAUCAGCCACACUGGAACUGAGACACGGUCCAGACUCCUACGGGAGGCAGCAGUAGGGAAUAUUGCGCAAUGGGGGAAACCCUGACGCAGCCAUGCCGCGUGUGUGAAGAAGGCCUUAGGGUUGUAAAGCAC